rnacentral:snRNA from 1 species
GUGCUGGCUUCAGCAGCACAUAUACUAAAAUAGGAAUGACAUAAGAUUAGCACGACCCCUGUGCAAUGAUGACAUGUAAAUUCAUGAAGCAUGCCACAUUUUA